rnacentral:hammerhead_ribozyme from 17 species
CAAGCGUCUGGGGUAAGGAGUCGCUGCCAUCAGCCCCACUGAUGAGUCUGGGCAAGUGACUCCGAGACGAAACGCAUU